rnacentral:rRNA from 1 species
AUUUUUUUAAGAAGUUAUUAUUUAAAAUAAAACCUGCUCAAAUGUAAUUAAUAAAUAGCUGCAGAAUAUCUGUACUAAGGUAGCAUAAUCAUUAGCUUUUUAAUUAAAAGAUAGAAUGAAUGGUUAAACGAAAUAAAUACUGUUUCUAAAUAUAUAAUUAAAUUAAAAUAAAAGUAAAAAUUCUUUUAAUAUUAAGAAAGACGACAAGACCCUAAAAACUAAUAUUUUAGCUGGGGCGGCAAAUAAACAAACCUUAAUUCAAACAAAAAAAAAUUCUAAAUAAAUUAAUAAACCAAGUUACUAUAGGGAUAACAGCGCAACUUUAGUUCAAAGUUCUUAUUUUAACUAAAAUCUACGACCUCGAUGUUGAAUUAAUUUUACUAAUAAAAGCAAAAAUUUAUUAAGAAGGUCUGU